UUCAUUUGGCUUCUCUUCAAUGUCGAAUACAUCUUUCGCUUUUUCUAAAGAUUUCAGUAGAGAGGGUCACUCUAAUGAGUCUAAAAUAAUUUUUUUUUUUUUCAAAUAUAUCAAAGA